GAUGAAACGACGAAAUACGCAAUUAUAUAUCGAGAUAUUGGAUCAAUAAUCUAUAUAAUUUUUCACGAUCGAUCUAUCGUAUUGAAAUGUAACGUAGAAGCGUCAGUUUUAGAGUGGUUAGUUGGAAUGGUUAGACAGGAAUCGUAGAAGGCACAACAAGAAGAAGCGUGAACGGUUCAUCUAAAUGUCAGAUACAUCUGAAGAGAUCAUUGUUCAAGCACAGAUAUCAGAAAAGUGAAGUACGAUAAUCGAGGAAAAGGAAACGAUGGACGAUAAGUCAUCGGCGCAAACAGUCGAUUGGAAUUCCUGAAGCGUACACGUUGUUCCUGUUGACGUGGUCACUUUGCGUCACGUCGUUUCUCGUUCCAAAUAUUUCAUUUCGCGCGGGCCAUACAGGAUGUGUCCACUCCAUAGUAAUUACCGGAUUAUGCUAAUCCACGAAAGGACAUCACAUAUAUGCUUCUAACAUUAACAAAUGACAUUUUGAUCGAGCUAAUAGUGUAUUACAAAUUGCAAAGUCGAUAGUAAUCGAUAUUGGAGUUAAUUGUUGUUAAUUGUGUUUAAAAUUGAAUGAAAUUUUUGGUUAAGCGAAUUUCUUUUUCGAUGCGUAUGGCGGCAGUGGUUUUAAUUUUUAAUAGCGUCGAUCGUGGCGUGGACGUUUCCUACUCUGCUUUUGCGACACACCAAUUGUCUACGACUCGGUAACUUUCUAGGCUGUAUGUUUUCUGCUUGGCAACAUUCGUUUCAAUCUGUCGUAUGUAAAACAAGAAAUCAAUUUCUCCGUGUU